UAAUUCAAAACCUAUAUAUUCGGUGAUUUUUUUUUUUAAUGGUGGGUCAGUGAUAUCUUUUAAUAUGUCUUUCAUUAGAAUAAGGAUAUUUUAUUUAUGUUCGAUACAAAUAUGACUUUUUUUUUAUGUUAUUGAUGUUAUUUACUAUUUAGAUAAGGAUAAUUCUUUUUGAAAGUUUUUACAUUUUUUUAUUAAGAGUUCGUUUUUAACAUUUGUGGUUGGGCUUCCAGAUUUUCGGGGCC
rnacentral:lncRNA from 1 species